rnacentral:tRNA from 1 species
UAGGCCUUAGCUUAAAGGAAAGCGGGUAGCUGUUGACUAUUUGAUGUAAAUAUUACAGGCCU